CAACAGGGAUUGCCCUAGUAACGGCGAGUGAAGCGGCAACAGCUCAAAUUUGAAAUCUGGCUCUUUUAGAGUCCGAGUUGUAAUUUGCAGAGGGCGCUUUGGCUUUGGCAGCGGUCCAAGUUCCUUGGAACAGGACGUCACAGAGGGUGAGAAUCCCGUACGUGGUCGCUAGCUAUUGCCGUGUAAAGCCCCUUCGACGAGUCGAGUUGUUUGGGAAUGCAGCUCUAAAUGGGAGGUAAAUUUCUUCUAAAGCUAAAUAUUGGCCAGAGACCGAUAGCGCACAAGUAGAGUGAUCGAAAGAUGAAAAGCACUUUGGAAAGAGAGUCAAACAGCACGUGAAAUUGUUGAAAGGGAAGCGCUUGCAGCCAGACUUGCUUGCAGUUGCUCAUCCGGGCUUUUGCCCGGUGCACUCUUCUGCAGGCAGGCCAGCAUCAGUUUGGGCGGUGGGAUAAAGGUCUCUGUCACGUUCCUUCCUUCGGGUUGGCCAUAUAGGGGAGAUGUCAUACCACCAGCCUGGACUGAGGUCCGCGCAUCUGCUAGGAUGCUGGCGUAAUGGCUGUAAGCGGCCCGUCUUGAAACACGGACCAAGGAGUCUAACAUCUAUGCGAGUGUUUGGGUGUCAAGCCCGAGCGCGUAAUGAAAGUGAACGGAGGUGGGAACCCGCAAGGGUGCACCAUCGACCGAUCCUGAAGUUUACGGAAGGAUUUGAGUAAGAGCAUGGCUGUUGGGACCCGAAAGAUGGUGAACUAUGCUUGAAUAGGGUGAAGCCAGAGGAAACUCUGGUGGAGGCUCGCAGCGGUUCUGACGUGCAAAUCGAUCGUCAAAUUUGGGCAUAGGGGCGAAAGACUAAUCGA
rnacentral:rRNA from 1 species